GUAAACAAUAAUAGUUUAGAUUUGUCCAUGCAAAUAAUCCAUAAUCAAUCCAUAAAUCAAAAUUGGGGUGAGUUUAUUAUGAGCCAGAUCUCAGGACUAGCUCGGGCUUUCCUUUCCUAAGGAAGGAAGGACACCAAAGAGAUGGGGUGUACAGAGUGGUUAUAUACCAUCUUGGAACAAAGAACAUACAUUACAUACGAUAGGAGUGUCCCUUUUACAACAGUCAUGAGAUUGCUUUGCUGGCACAGCAGAUCGGUCAACACAGCAAGUGGGUGGUCACAGGCCACCAGCACAGCAUGGCCACUAACAGAGUGAUGUAGACCCAUGCCUGGGAACUGAACCCACGCUGCCGAAGCAGAGCAUGUUGGACUUAACCACUAGGCUACUGGGGCUGGCCCAAGACUGCAAGUAUGGGGUUCAGAGAGCUUUCAGGUUGGUGAACACAUCCACACCAGGAGGGUGACACACCCCAACUCCAUGGAGACAGAAGCUCCUGCACUUGGGACCCUCCCAGACCUCACCAUUUCUACCUCUUCAUCUGGCUGUUCAUCUGUAU
rnacentral:lncRNA from 1 species